UACGUAGGGGGACUAGCGUUGUCCGGAUUUAUUGGGCGUAAAGAGCUCGUAGGCGGCUUGUCGCGUCGACUGUGAAAACCCGCAGCUCAACUGUGGGCCUGCAGUGGGUACGGGCAGACUGGAGUGCGGUAGGGGAGAAUGGAAUUCCUGGUGUAGCGGUGGAAUGCGCAGAUAUCAGGAGGAACACCGAUGGCGAAGGCAGUUCUCUGGGCCGUAACUGACGCUGAGGAGCGAAAGCGUGGGGAGCGAACAGG
rnacentral:rRNA from 1 species